rnacentral:rRNA from 1 species
GUGGGGAAUCUUAGACAAUGGGCGCAAGCCUGAUCUAGCCAUGCCGCGUGAGCGAUGAAGGCCUUAGGGUUGUAAAGCUCUUUCAGCUGGGAAGAUAAUGACGGUACCAGCAGAAGAAGCCCCGGCUAACUCCGUGCCAGCAGCCGCGGUAAUACGGAGGGGGCUAGCGUUGUUCGGAAUUACUGGGCGUAAAGCGCACGUAGGCGGAUCAGAAAGUCAGAGGUGAAAUCCCAGGGCUCAACCUUGGAACUGCCUUUGAAACUCCUGAUCUUGAGGUCGAGAGAGGUGAGUGGAAUUCCGAGUGUAGAGGUGAAAUUCGUAGAUAUUCGGAGGAACACCAGUGGCGAAGGCGGCUCACUGGCUCGAUACUGACGCUGAGGUGCGAAAGCGUGGGGAGCAAACAGGAUUAGAUACCCUAGUAGUCC